UACGAAGGGUGCAAACGUUGCUCGGAAUCAUUGGGCGUAAAGCGCACGUAGGCGGCUCCACAAGUCGGAUGUGAAAUCCCUGGGCUCAACCGAGGAAGUGCAUCCGAAACUGCGGAGCUUGAGUAUGGAAGAGGGUCGCGGAAUUCCCGGUGUAGAGGUGAAAUUCGUAGAUAUCGGGAGGAACACCAGUGGCGAAGGCGGCGACCUGGGCCAAUACUGACGCUGAGGUGCGAAAGCGUGGGGAGCAAACAGG
rnacentral:rRNA from 1 species